UCUUUAAAACCUUUUGAUUUCUCGUCCAAUUGACGGUGUAAAUCAAAAUAGUCGAGAAAUUCCUCGACCUUCAAAGUCCUCAAC
rnacentral:ribozyme from 1 species